UAACCAUGCUAGUCGAACGAUGAAGCCCUUCGGGGUGGAUUAGUGGCGAACGGGUGAGUAACACGUGGGCAAUCUGCCCUGCACUCUGGGACAAGCCCUGGAAACGGGGUCUAAUACCGGAUAUGACUGUCCACCGCAUGGUGGAUGGUGUAAAGCUCCGGCGGUGCAGGAUGAGCCCGCGGCCUAUCAGCUAGUUGGUGAGGUAGUGGCUCACCAAGGCGACGACGGGUAGCCGGCCUGAGAGGGCGACCGGCCACACUGGGACUGAGACACGGCCCAGACUCCUACGGGAGGCAGCAGUGGGGAAUAUUGCACAAUGGGCGAAAGCCUGAUGCAGCGACGCCGCGUGAGGGAUGACGGCCUUCGGGUUGUAAACCUCUUUCAGCAGGGAAGAAGCGAAAGUGACGGUACCUGCAGAAGAAGCGCCGGCUAACUACGUGCCAGCAGCCGCGGUAAUACGUAGGGCGCAAGCGUUGUCCGGAAUUAUUGGGCGUAAAGAGCUCGUAGGCGGCUUGUCACGUCGGUUGUGAAAGCCCGGGGCUUAACCCCGGGUCUGCAGUCGAUACGGGCAGGCUAGAGUUCGGUAGGGGAGAUCGGAAUUCCUGGUGUAGCGGUGAAAUGCGCAGAUAUCACGAGGAACACCGGUGGCGAAGGCGGAUCUCUGGGCCGAUACUGACGCUGAGGAGCGAAAGCGUGGGGAGCGAACAGGAUUAGAUACCCUGGUAGUCACGCCGUAAACGGUGGGCACUAGGUGUGGGCAACAUUCCACGUUGUCCGUGCCGCAGCUAACGCAUUAAGUGCCCCCGCCUGGGGGAGUACGGCCGCAAGGCUAAACCUCAUAGGGAUUUGACGGGGGGCUCGCACAAGCGGCGGGA
rnacentral:rRNA from 1 species